AGAGUUUGAUUCUGGCUCAGAUUGAACGCUGGCGGAAUGCUUUACACAUGCAAGUCGAACGAUGAACCUUAGCUUGCUAAGGGGAUUAGUGGCGAACGGGUGAGUAAUAUAUCGGAACGUGCCUUGUAAUGGGGGAUAACUAGUCGAAAGAUUAGCUAAUACCGCAUACGCCCUGAGGGGGAAAGUAGGGGAUCUUCGGACCUUACGUUAUAAGAGCGGCCGAUAUCUGAUUAGCUAGUUGGUGGGGUAAUGGCCUACCAAGGCGACGAUCAGUAGCUGGUCUGAGAGGACGACCAGCCACACUGGAACUGAGACACGGUCCAGACUCCUACGGGAGGCAGCAGUGGGGAAUUUUGGACAAUGGGCGCAAGCCUGAUCCAGCCAUUCCGCGUGAGUGAAGAAGGCCUUCGGGUUGUAAAGCUCUUUCGCAAGGGAAGAAAACUUACUUUCUAAUAAAGAGUGAGGCUGACGGUACCUUGAUAAGAAGCACCGGCUAACUACGUGCCAGCAGCCGCGGUAAUACGUAGGGUGCGAGCGUUAAUCGGAAUUACUGGGCGUAAAGCGUGCGCAGGCGGUUUGGCAAGUCAGAUGUGAAAUCCCCGAGCUCAACUUGGGAACUGCGUUUGAAACUGCCAGACUAGAAUAUGUCAGAGGGGGGUAGAAUUCCACGUGUAGCAGUGAAAUGCGUAGAGAUGUGGAGGAAUACCAAUGGCGAAGGCAGCCCCCUGGGAUAAUAUUGACGCUCAUGCACGAAAGCGUGGGGAGCAAACAGGAUUAGAUACCCUGGUAGUCCACGCCCUAAACG
rnacentral:rRNA from 1 species